GGACGAACGCUGGCGGUGUGCUUCACACAUGCAAGUCGAACGAGGUAGCAAUACCUAGUGGCGGACGGGUGAGUAACGCGUGGGAAUCUGCCUUUAGAUGGGGGAUAACGGGUCGAAAGACUCGCUAAUACCGCAUAUGACGAAAGUUGAAAGGAGUAAUCCGUCUAAAGAUGAGCCCGCGUCCGAUUAGCUAGUUGGUAGAGUAAAAGCCUACCAAGGCGACGAUCGGUAGCUAGUCUGAGAGGAUGAUCAGCCACAAUGGGACUGAGACACGGCCCAUACUCCUACGGGAGGCAGCAGUGGGGAAUUUUACGCAAUGGGCGAAAGCCUGACGUAGCGACACCGCGUGAGCGAAGAAGCCCCUUGGGGUGUAAAGCUCUGUCAGCUGGAACGAAAAAAUGACGGUACCAGCAGAGGAAGCAUCGGCUAACUACGUG
rnacentral:rRNA from 1 species